rnacentral:rRNA from 1 species
GCUCAACUGAGGAAUUGCUUUGGAAACUGGAUGACUUGAGUGCAGUAGAGGAAAGUGGAACUCCAUGUGUAGCGGUGAAAUGCGUAGAUAUAUGGAAGAACACCAGUGACGAAGGCGGCUGUCUGGUCUGUAACUGACGCUGAGGCUCGAAAGUAUGGGUAGCAAACAGGAUUAGAUACCCUGGUAGUCCAUACCGUAAACGAUGAAUGCUAAGUGUUGGAGGGUUUCCGCCCUUCAGUGCUGCAGCUAACGCAUUAAGCAUUCCGCCUGGGGAGUACGGCCGCAAGGCUGAAACUCAAAGGAAUUGACGGGGGCCCGCACAAGCGGUGGAGCAUGUGGUUUAAUUCGAAGCUACGCGAAGAACCUUACCAGGUCUUGACAUACUAUGCAAAUCUAAGAGAUUAGACGUUCCCUUCGGGGACAUGGAUACAGGUGGUGCAUGGUUGUCGUCAGCUCGUGUCGUGAGAUGUUGGGUUAAGUCCCGCAACGAGCGCAACCCUUAUUAUCAGUUGCCAGCAUUAAGUUGGGCACUCUGGUGAGACUGCCGGUGACAAACCGGAGGAAGGUGGGGAUGACGUCAAAUCAUCAUGCCCCUUAUGACCUGGGCUACACACGUGCUACAAUGGAUGGUACAACG